UUCCUGACAAUUCAGGUGGAAACACCUUCAGCUGCCAGCACCGAAGCUACUCAACUUUGCAGGAAUACACCUGUAGGAGGAACCAAAGCCCUCCCAAAGGACCCUUCAGCUGUUGUGCUGGGAAAGCUCUGGGCAAGCUGGGGGGGGGGGGGGCGGGGGGAGACAAGACGCAGGUGAGCCAGGCUCCCGUUCACUCACCCGCUACUCAUCUGUUCACUUAUUCGCUCCAUGUUUCUAGGCUCCCCUCUGUGCCAAACCCUGGAAUGGGCCCUGGGGAAACCAAGUCAGAAAGAAGGCCUGGUGCCUCCCUCAGAAAUCUCGAAGUCUGGCAACCGGGUGCGAGAGGUGCUCUGGAAGAAGCCAUGGGCUUUCAGGAGAAGGAGCCUGUCACCUAGGUCACCUAGCCUGGCAGAGCAGGAGGAGGGAGCAUCCUUGAAGACAGCUUUCCGAAGGAGGGGACACCUGACUGGAGACAUGGAGAUGGACCAGAAUCUCAUGGACAGGGUGUGAACCCAGGAGACUGAGAAGGGUACUUGUUUUUGUGUUGGAGAUCAAAGUGCAGCAAACUGAACAUUUCAAAUAUGAUAAAGGAAAGGACUCUCCUGCAACUACCUCUCCAUAGAUGCCUAACUAAAGGUUCAAGACUGGUGUCUCCACAGAGCUGCAGACCUGUCUAGUGGCUCCUGGACUCCAUGAGUACCAGACCAAACUCAUCUUUUACCCCAAAUUGCCCAUAUUCCUGUGCUCUGUAUAUCUAUCUGUUAGUGACAUCUCCAUCCACCUGGUCAACCAGGUAAAAAACUUAAAUUAUCUUUGACCUCUCUCUACCCUUCACUUUCUCUUUCCAAUUAGUUGCUAGGAAUUGCCCACUGAACAGCUUCCAAACUGGCCUCCCUGCAUCUAGUCUCUCCCUUCUUCUCCCCACUACCAGAAUUCUCUUCUUAAAGCUCAGAUUUAUAUUAUCACAUGCUAAAAAAAAAAAAAAAAAUCUUACAUUUUCUUCUCCUAUUUUCUGUGGAAUAGCCUCAACUCAUUAGCACCCAAGGCUUUCCUUGGUGCAAAUCAGUUUGGCCCUGAUUCCCCCAUGGCCUCUUGUUUUGAUUACACCAGGAUUUCAUUUGUAAGGGUGACUGAGUAAUGACAGAGUGGUCAGUGCCAUUGAAAGAAGUCUUAUUGCUCCCAGUUCCCAAGAGAAGGAAGUACAUCGUUCCAUCCAAAGCCACACAGGGUCAGUAAGGAAGCAAAAGGAGAGGAGAACAUGACCCAGAGCCUCUAUUGUGGUUUCUGUGGGAAGGAAUGGGUGAGGCAUAGUAGGGAAAUGUGAGUGAGCUUAAGAUGGGGUACUUUGAAUGUUAGUGGACUCUGGGCUAUAAGGGUGGUCUCUCAUUAUCCAGUAUUUGGCCCCAGGGUGAUUUAAGGCAGGGUAACUGUUGGCUUGGUGUGUGAGAGUUAAAGGAAGUGGUUGGGGGCAUAGGCUUUCGAUUGUUUGGUUAAUGUAAGGUGUGUUCACAGGCAAGUUGUU